rnacentral:rRNA from 1 species
GAGUUUGAUCCUGGCUCAGGACGAACGCUGGCGGCGUGCUUAACACAUGCAAGUCGAACGAUGAAGCGCAGUUUGCUGCGUGGAUUAGUGGCGAACGGGUGAGUAACACGUGAGUAACCUGCCCUCCACUCUGGGAUAACUCCGGGAAACCGGUGCUAAUACUGGAUAUGACACCUUCCUGCAUGGGUUGGUGUGGAAAGAUUUAUCGGUGGUGGAUGGACUCGCGGCCUAUCAGCUUGUUGGUGGGGUAAUGGCCUACCAAGGCGACGACGGGUAGCCGGCCUGAGAGGGUGACCGGCCACACUGGGACUGAGACACGGCCCAGACUCCUACGGGAGGCAGCAGUGGGGAAUAUUGCACAAUGGGCGAAAGCCUGAUGCAGCGACGCCGCGUGCGGGAUGACGGCCUUCGGGUUGUAAACCGCUUUCAGCUCUGACGAAGCUUUUGUGACGGUAGGAGCAGAAGAAGCACCGGCUAACUACGUGCCAGCAGCCGCGGUA